rnacentral:rRNA from 1 species
UGCCAGACUCCUACGGGAGGCAGCAGUGGGGGAUAUUGCACAAUGGGGGGGACCCUGAUGCAGCGACGCCGCGUGGGUGAAGGAGCGUUUCGGCGCGUAAAGCCCUAUCGGCAGGGAAGAAGGAGGACGGUACCUGACUAAGAAGCCCCGGCUAACUACGUGCCAGCAGCCGCGGUAAUACGUAGGGGGCAAGCGUUAUCCGGAUUUACUGGGUGUAAAGGGGGCGCAGACGGCAGCGCAAGCCAGGAGUGAAAGCCCGGGGCCCAACCCCGGGACUGCUCUUGGAACUGCGCGGCUGGAGUGCAGGAGAGGUAGGCGGAAUUCCUAGUGUAGCGGUGAAAUGCGUAGAUAUUAGGAGGAACACCAGUGGCGAAGGCUGCCUACUGGACGGUGACUGACGCUGAGGCUCGAAAGCGUGGGGAGCAAACAGGAUUAGAUACCCGUGUAU